AUAUACUUGACCGAAUCGGAGAUUUCGAAUUUGCAUUGGAAGCCCUAAAUCUUGGCAAAUUCUUCUUUCUCUCUCCAUAAAUCUUCCCCCAAUUCAGCCCUAAUCGGAUCAAUUCACAAUCCAAACAAUCGAAUUCACCCACUAAGUUGGAAGAUUAAUCAAUGGACAACGAGAGCGAGAACGGGUCAUACUACGAAAAAGUCGACGGCCUCGCGCGGUGGGUCGGCACCAGCGUCGCCGCGGCCUUCUUCGCCUCCCUCGAGCGCUGCUCCUGCGUCAACCUAACCACCUUCGACACCGACGACGACGGCGAAGAGGAGGAGGCCAAAGAUCGCCCGCUCAUGCUCACCUCCCACCCCUCCUUCAAUUCCACCACUUCUUCUUUUGCCGCCCCCAAUAAUCCCGAUGUCAAUUUGAAAACCCCUCCAACCUCCGUUGAGAAUCUGCCGGUCUGAUCGGGCAUCUUGGUCAGACAGUGUAUAUGUGGAGUCCGAAAGUCUGGAGUCUGGUCAUGUAUCGAAGCCCAACAAAAGCCGGUGUUCAUGCCAUAGUUCUGUGCUGGAUGUUUUUUACUCUUACACCUGAAUAACUUUUAGUUUUUUAGUACAUGGUUCUUCUACAAAGUGUUACAUGUACUGAUUAUCCCCUACAAGUCGCCAUGUUUUAUGUUUCUAUUUUUCACAUUACCUUGUAUUGUAGAGAUCCAUUAAUCUCAGUGUGUUGCUUAUUGUCUUGUGUAAGAAUCUAUAAAGAUAUUAAAUUCCUAAUGUGAGAUUGACAUUUCACUUCAA